GUGCUCCCUUUGGUAACACAUAUACUAAUGCAAUAACAUAGAGAUCAGCAUGACCCCUGAGCAAGGAUGAAGCAGAUUCGUUAAGUGUUCCAUACUUAC
rnacentral:snRNA from 1 species